CAGCAGCCACGGGAAUACGUAGGUGGCAAGCGUUGUCCGGAUUUAUUGGGCGUAAAGCGAGCGCAGGCGGUCAAUUAAGUCUGAUGUGAAAGCCCCCGGCUCAACCGGGGAGGGUCAUUGGAAACUGGUUGACUUGAGUGCAGAAGAGGAGAGUGGAAUUCCAUGUGUAGCGGGGAAAUGCGUAGAGAUGUGGAGGAACACCAGUGGCGAAGGCGACUCUCUGGUCUGUAACUGACGCUGAGGAGCGAAAGCGUGGGGAGCGAACAGGAUUAGAUACCCCUGUAGUCCCUGUCUCUUAUAC
rnacentral:rRNA from 1 species